rnacentral:rRNA from 1 species
CAUCCUACGGGAGGCAGCAGGCGCGAAACCUUUACACUGCACGCCAGUGCGAUAAGGGGACUCCGAGUGCGAGGGCAUAUAGUCCUCGCUUUUCUGCACCGUAAGGUGGUUCAGGAACAAGGGCUGGGCAAGACCGGUGCCAGCCGCCGCGGUAAUACCGGCAGCCCGAGUGAUGGCCGCUAUUAUUGGGCCUAAAGCGUCCGUAGCCGGCCGGGCAAGUCCGUUGGGAAAUCCACCCGCUCAACGAGUGGGCGUCCAGCGGAAACUGUUUGGCUUGGGACCGGAAGACCUGAGGGGUACGUCCGGGGUAGGAGUGAAAUCCUGUAAUCCUGGACGGACCACCGGUGGCGAAAGCGCCUCAGGAAGGCGGAUCCGACAAUGAGGGACGAAACCUAGGGUCGCGAACCGGAUUAGAUAUCCGGGUACUCGUUCUCGUAAACGAUAACCGAUAGGUGUGGCACAGGCUCCGAGCCUGUUCAGUGUCGAGCGAAAGCGUAAGUGUCCGCCUGCCUGCGCGAGUG